GGCAUGGUAGCCGAGUGGGUAAAGCGCUGCUUAUAGCUAUUGGCUCGGUACCGAAUUUCGAUGGUUCGAAUCCAUCCCAGAGCAA